rnacentral:rRNA from 1 species
GACGAACGCUGGCGGCGUGCUUAACACAUGCAAGUCGAGCGGUAAGGCCCUUUCGGGGGUACACGAGCGGCGAACGGGUGAGUAACACGUGGGUGACCUGCCCUUAGCUCUGGGAUAAGCCUGGGAAACUGGGUCUAAUACCGGAUAUGACUCCAUGACGCAUGUUGUGGGGUGGAAAGCCUUGUGCGGCUGGAGAUGGGCCCGCGGCCUAUCAGCUUGUUGGUGGGGUGAUGGCCUACCAAGGCGACGACGGGUAGCCGGCCUGAGAGGGCGACCGGCCACACUGGGACUGAGACACGGCCCAGACUCCUACGGGAGGCAGCAGUGGGGAAUCUUGCGCAAUGGGCGAAAGCCUGACGCAGCGACGCCGCGUGAGGGAUGACGGCCU